rnacentral:rRNA from 1 species
AGUGAACGCUGGCGGUAGGCCUAACACAUGCAAGUCGAACGGCAGCACAGUAAGAGCUUGCUCUUACGGGUGGCGAGUGGCGGACGGGUGAGGAAUACAUCGGAAUCUACUUUUUCGUGGGGGAUAACGUAGGGAAACUUACGCUAAUACCGCAUACGACAUACGGGUGAAAGCAGGGGAUCUUCGGACCUUGCGCGAUUGAAUGAGCCGAUGUCGGAUUAGCUAGUUGGCGGGGUAAAGGCCCACCCAGGCGACGAUCCGUAGCUGGUCUGAGAGGAUGAUCAGCCACACUGGAACUGAGACACGGUCCAGACUCCUACGGGAGGCAGCAGUGGGGAAUAUUGGACAAUGGGCGCAAGCCUGAUCCAGCCAUACCGCGUGGGUGAAGAAGGCCUUCGGGUUGUAAAGCCCUUUUGUUGGGAAAGAAAAGCAGCAGGUUAAUACCCCGCUGUUCUGACGGUACCCAAAGAAUAAGCACCGGCUAACUUCGUG